AUUUUUUAUUCGCAAGACUGUUGUAGGCGGUUGCUUCGAGAGCAUCUAGUAGCUUUUCCGGAACUUCAGUUUAGGAUUCAGGCUUUUGGUUGGAAGAAAUUUGAUUCAAGAUGUCCAAGAUAUACAUUGGGAAUUUGGACCCGCAGGUAACUGAACGCGAUCUCGAGGAUGAGUUUAGCGUGUUUGGAGUAAUCAGGAGUGUGGGUUUUCAGACACACUACUCGUUAUGAUUUCAUUGAUUUUGAAGACCGAAGAGAUGCUGAAGAUGCCAUUAAACAAUUUGAUGGUAGGCUUUUUGAUAUUACAUGCUUUGAUAUAAUCGGUGCAAAUUACUCACAGCGUAUCUCAUUGCUUAUUAGCUUGGUUUUUUCUUGAUGUCUUCUUGAAUUUUAAUUACCUAAAUGUAUGUUAUCAUUCUCAUAAACACCAUCUGUGAUGUAAUUAUUGUUUUUUGGACUUUAUUUAUAUAUCUGCCUUACUGUGGAAAAGGAAAAAAUGGAUGGAAAGUUGAGCCAUCUCAUACGAAUCGUGUUCGUGACCUUAAAUGUUUUGAAUGUGGUGAGCCUGGUCAUUUUGCUCGUAACUGCAAAAUUAAAGGUGGUUUUGAGAGACAGAGGACCCCCCCUAGGUACCGACGGAGCCCAAGUUAUGGUCGAAGGUAAUUCUGAAAAGGCUUACAUUUACUUAAUCUGCUUUAUAAAUUCAAUCUUAGGGAAAGGGGAGAAAACUGAUAAGCUGAGUAUAUACUAAUAUUUAUAUUAAUCCUAAUUCAUAACAAAAUUCCCUAUGGGUGUUGAUGUUCUGACAAGAGUUACAGUCCUCGUGGCUCUUCCCCUCGAACCCGCAGUUUGUCUCCCAGAGGUCGGAGCUACAGAAGGUCACCAUCAUAUCGUUGAUGAGAUGAGGUGCCAUAUGCAACUGGGAAUGGGAUUAGAGAAAAUGAUAUGAACAGGAACUGAGCUUGGAUCGGCUAUUAGUAAUUCUAGUACAUCAUAAAACCUUUAGUGUGUUCACGACUAUGUAAGUGAGGUGACGCUUCAGCCUCCACUGUUGCAUAUGUUUGAGUGCCGUUAUUGCUAUGUCUGCCUGGCACUGCUUUAUUGGUUUCGUGCUUCUGCACUCGUGGUUUUGACCUAUCGUGGAUCCUAGCUGGCUUCUCUGCUAGAAGCUUCUUUACAUUGAAUGUCUUUAGCUAUGAAUGACCGGCUUCCACGCUGCUUGCAGGUACAUGAUCCAUUACAUGACUGUUAUAACAUAAUCUUGCCCUUCCAUUACACUGAGGAUUAUUUUGUUCCCAUAUUGCUGCAUGCCUGUCUAGAGUGAGAGUUCGAAAUGGAACUAAAUAGCCGGUUUUGAAAGCUAAGUUUCCUCAUUUCGAAAAUUCUUUCGUUUAAAGUGGUUGUCACCGUUUAGUUGAAUCCACUUCUAUUAAAGAAUCAUAUAAAUAACAUAAAAAACUUUGAACUUUCUUUUCCGAUUUCAUACAAUGCAUGUGAAAGUUCCACGGCCGAUUUUCCUUUUCUUGCCAUGGCCAAAUCCAAUGAGCAAAGAUUAUCUUCUACGUGCUUUAAUUCCUGCUACAUUGUUACUAUAAUGUUACCUAUAACUUAUUUGCUUGUGUAUGAUUACCUCAUCUUCACACAUGUCUCUAUUUUUGUAUUUUUCACCUUUUUGCAUGUUCGAAAUUCCUCUAUGGACAACUUUGAUGAAGGCUACAAUUCUUUUUUGGAUGUGACAAAAUAUAUUCCAUCUAGUUUUGAAUUGUAAACAUAUAAUUUGAUAAAUCAAAUACAUGUUUGGGAUGGUUUAUCAUUUGCUCUUGAUUGUAGCAAUAUUAAGUUUUUGCAAGGUUUGCUAGUAUAUCGAACAUGUAUAUGAAUUGUGCAACAUUUUUUCAUUACUAAAUGCUGAU